AAGAGAAGAGAAACCAAGGAAGAACAAACCCUAGGUGGGAAAUAUCAAAGAGAAAGUGUUAGAAUUCAAGGAUUUGAUCAAGCAAAGGUAAAAUUUCUUUGAUUUUGCUAGUGAUUUUCCUUACCCAUGCAUUUUUCCUUAAUUUCCAUGGUUGAAAAGCAUGCUUUCAUGGUGAAUUCAUGGCUGGUCAAAAUGGGUAUGGAGAGAGAAUGAUCUUGGAUUGGUUUGAUUUUUAGGUAUAUUAGUGUUUUUAGGUGAUUAAUGAUGUGUAGCAUGAAAACAAGUGAAGCAAACUACCAAAGGUUUGGUGCCCAUCAAUAGCCGAAUUCUCUAAAUGAAUAAUGAGGAAGAAUGGGAUGUUAUUUUAGGUGAUUUGAUUAAGAAAUAAUAGUUUUUGGUGAAUUGAGGAAUUGGAAAAGAAAUGGAGCAAGUUGGAGUGAAAUUGGACGCAUUGGCCAAUUUAUUGAAUGAAAAAUCGACCUAGGCCAUACCGGGUCUAGAUGGCUACUCGUGCAUUUUUCAUUUCAUAUCACGCAUAUAUAUCGAGCCUGAAAUAGCUUAUGACUGUUAGACACAAUUUAAUUGGAAUAUGUGUCAUGGAUUAUGGCUAGGUGGUGAGCCAUUGGAUACGGGUAAAGGAUUGUAUCCGCAGACUGAAAAUAAGAGUAUUUCUACUCCUAAUACUGUCAGUGGACAAUUUAUCGUCUUAAAUAUCUAGAGUAAUUAUACUUGUUUGAUGCUUUUAUUGAAUGGUGAGUUUAAAUUAUAAAAUAUUAUGUUUUUCAAUUAAAAUAAUUUUUUUAAUAAAAAUGAGAUUUAUACUGAUUUUGAAAUCAAAUAUUGUUUUGGGAAAAUUGAGUAUAUGGAGACUGUUUUGAAUUUAUGAUUUUAUAUGUUAUUGAAAUUGUGGCUUAUGACACUAUGGUAGCAUGAUGGCUAAAUUUUUGGGGUUGGCAUGAAAUAUAUGAACAGUUUUGGAUUGGUCUCGAUAGACUGGAUUAAAUUUUAUUGGCCAUAUUAUACUGCUGAAAAUUUUAUGGGUCUGGUGGUAUAUUAAACAAUCACUGCAGUGUUUGGGGUUUCCGUGGACUGCCUAUGAGAGGGGCACGGUAAUCCAAUUAUAUACUUACCUUUGGGGGGAGAUGUUGGAUAAAGUAUCUCUUGAGGUAAGAUUUGAGUGCACCUCAUGUUCGGGCCACCACGUGAGAGUAAGACUCAGCCAAUGCCAAAGGUUCGUAGAAAGUAAGGGUUCGUAGCCCUACACCUUCUUAGUCAGUUGGGGGCCCACAUGUCACUGUAAAUGUAAUUUUAUAUUUCAGUUAUCUGAUUUAAAGUAUGUAUGAACAUAUUAAGCUUUUACACCAUGUUUUUGGCGGGUUUCAAUAUUUUCGAAGAAAAAUGACGAAAAUGCCCUUGUGAGCUAGAAAAUAAUAUUUUAUUGUUUUGAUUUGGAAAC
rnacentral:lncRNA from 1 species